rnacentral:rRNA from 1 species
CCUACGGGGCGCAGCAGUGGGGAAUAUUGGACAAUGGGCGAAAGCCUGAUCCAGCCAUGCCGCGUGUGUGAAGAAGGCCUUCGGGUUGUAAAGCACUUUCAGUGGGGAAGAAAGCCUUGGGGCUAAUACCCUCGAGGAAGGACAUCACCCACAGAAGAAGCACCGGCUAACUCCGUGCCAGCAGCCGCGGAAUACGGAGGGUGCGAGCGUUAAUCGGAAUUACUGGGCGUAAAGCGCGCGUAGGCGGUCUGAUAAGCCGGUUGUGAAAGCCCCGGGCUCAACCUGGGAACGGCAUCCGGAACUGUCAGGCUAGAGUGCAGGAGAGGAAGGUAGAAUUCCCGGUGUAGCGGUGAAAUGCGUAGAGAUCGGGAGGAAUACCAGUGGCGAAGGCGGCCUUCUGGACUGACACUGACGCUGAGGUGCGAAAGCGUGGGUAGCAAACAGGAUUAGAUACCCGAGUAGUC